GCGCAGGGUGAAAAGGCAUGGUAGCGACAGAGACCGAGCUGCUACCCCCCGGGUACUGGCCAUCGUUGUGGGGCCGAACUGUUUCGACAUCACAAGCGCUGAUCGGGUGAAGCGUCUGUAGUCACGCUUCAUGGCGGUCCCUCUCUGUUCCUGCCGGCGGCUCUUCAUCAUGGCCUUGUACUCGCCCACCCGCAGCCGUCGUCCCUCCACUAUGCAGGUCCGUUUGGGCCGGGGUUUGUAUUUGUAGUCGGGGUAGCGCUCCAGAUGCUGCCUGCUCAGCCUCGCCUGCUCUUCGUAGUAAGGCUGCUUCUCCUGGUUAGACAUGGCUUUCCACCUGGAGCCUACAGACAAAGACGCACCAACACAAAGGAGUGACUUCAUGCUCUCCAGCAGCAGAAGCUGUCGUGGCUCGCCAUGUUUCAUUUCUUGUGGGGUUUUCGAAGUAUUUGUCCCAUGUUUUAUGUGCUACUCUGCCUGCAUCUACAUGUUGUCUUACUUUGGUAAUUAUCUUUCCUUGCACACCUUUUGUUAUUUUACUUCCUUUUUGUCUCCCCUCCUUUGUAAUCGUCAGCCCUGCCCUCAUUGUCCCACCUGUUCCCAAUUAGAUCCCUGUUUAUUUAUCCCGUCCUUCAGUCUUUUUGUCACUCUUUCAGUUUUUCCAUCUGUUUACUCUCCUGGAUUCCCGUUUCUCGAUUAACCCAACCUCGGAGUUGUUUCCCCCUCAUUGUUCUCUGCUGGAUGGCAACUUAUGGAGCUGUACUGA